CAGCCACACAUACAGAGACGGCGCACGUUUCCCUCGCAGAUCUCGCGAUUCGUAGAGCCAUAGGCGUCGUUGGACCAAAAAAACUCUGUUCAUCGUGUUAAAGGUGGGAGGUGAGACCAUGUAAGAAUAUCAAACGCAUUGACAUCUUAAGCAGUAAGGAAGGUAUCAAGAAAAGAAUUGAAUAAAGCGUAAUACUACAGAGAAUCAUAUCAGAAUUCCAAAGGGGCCUCGAAUGCGCGACACGUGCGACUUCGAAUUAGAAAAAGUAAACACGCGUUCGGCCAGGUGGCGCGGAAUGUCGUUGCUACAUCGAUGAGCAGUUUUACGCGCACAGCGAAAUAGACGACGGUCGAGGAACAGUGAUGGACCAGGUUCGGCGCCAUUCCAUCUCUCACGCAACAUUAGCUAUUCAAACGAAGAGUGUUCGAGCCGACAUCGGGCUCCAAGUGUUUCGUUUUUAAAAAAACCCCAGCCCCCUUUAACCGUCCCGCCCCGAGCUAUCGACGUCCAGACUGUCUCAAAAUCGUUUACGAUCAUCGGUUACACCUGCCAUACUUCCUCGACGGUGAUCCACUCUUUGGCUAUCGAAUU